rnacentral:lncRNA from 1 species
GAUAGUAUUUUUAAAAGAAAAAUUAGAAACAGUAUGUCAAAAUACAAAAAGAAAAAAUUCAACCAUGUAGAACGACAUAGUCAGCAGCUUUAACGAAGCAGAGCACGCCGUGUGGCAAGACAUGAUGACAUUGGUGCCACGCGGGCAAUCCACAUGCCAAGUGAUCGGACAACCCAGGAACGAUCCUGCGUGCGUGGACGGCUCAAAUUCGUUCCCUCCUUAGAUGUGAUAAGACGAACGAAAUCAAUCACGAUAAAUGGUUCAGAUUCGUUUCCUCAUUAGGCGCGAUUGGACGUACAAGAUCAAUCGUGAUGAAUAGGCCAAAUCAAUGCGGGAUGGGUAUAAAUACUUCGUGUCGCAUGGGAACCCAAAACCCUAGCCACCAGCCCCUGU